GCUUCACUUGCAACAUCCCUGAAACAAUCGGCAAAUCGACUGUCUCCGUUGUGACAUUCGCCAACAACAAGUUCAAAGGAUGUAUUCCACGUAGCAUUGGAAAGAUGUCGAACUUGGACGAGAUCAUUUUCUCAAACAAUAACCUCGGUGGUUGUUUCCCUCAAGAAAUUGGAUUGCUUCGAAAUGUUACUAUUUUCGAUGUUAGCAAGAACUCGUUCGUGGGUAGCUUGCCCGCAAACUUUUCGGGAUUCGAGAAGGUUGACGUUUUGGAUAUUUCCGGGAACAAGUUGACGGGGAGUGUGCCGGAGGAUAUUUGCAAGUUGCCGAGCUUGUCUAGUUUCAAGUUUUCUUACAACUAUUUCAGUGAGGAGCAUAUGGCUUGUAUAAAGCCUGAAAGGAAGAACAUUGUGGUGGAAGAUACUGGUAAUUGUGUGGCUGGCCGGAUGAAGCAAAAGACAGAUAAAGAGUGCAAACAGGUGGUGAGUAACCCGGUUGAUUGUAGCAAGGACAAAUGUACUGGAGGGUCUCCACCUUCUAAGCCUAAAUCACCACCACUACCACCGGUCCACUCCCCACCCCACCACGUCGCACUCCCACCCCACCACGUGCACUCACCACCCCACCCGUCCACUCACCACCCCCACCCGUCUACUCACCACCACCACCAGUGCACUCACCACCACCACCCGUCUACUCCCCACCACCACCCGUCUACUCCCCACCACCACCCGUCUACUCACCACCACCACCCCCACCCGUCCACUCCCCACCACCACCACCAGCAGUACAGUCCCCACCCCCACCAGUACAAUCUCCACCUCCACGAACUCCAUCUCCUCGUCCUGUUGUGUCUACACCGCCACCUACAAAAGAUAUUGUCCUCCCACCAAACAUAGGAUUCGAAUACCAAUCGCCACCUCCACCAAUGUUUCCAGGCUACUAAACAGUACUACAGCCUUAACAUCUUUGUAUUGUAUAUUCUCGCUCUCGGGCAUAAAAGGAAAAAAAAAAGAGCCAUAAAUUACAAUUAUGUCAUUACCUUUUCUUGCGUUUGCAAUUACUAUUCAAAUUGUAACAUCAUUGCGAAAGCUCUUAUAUUUAUAUAUGAAUCUUAAUUACUAGUAACUUUCAUCUUUUCCCUCUUCCUCUUUUGUUAAUAUUGGAAAAAUAAAUAUUUGUGAUAUAUAAUUUAUAUGUCACUUCAGCAUGUUGUGUUGGUUUCGGGUUGCAUCAAUUUCAAUCGGAUCAAUUUGAUUUUUGAUCAUUUAUGUUUAUUUUUUUUUCUUUCAAGAGUGACACUUAAUUUCGAGUUUUUUAUUCAUGUUUUUUAAGUUUGAUUUUUUUUUAUAUGUUGGAAUUGGGUAGGUUUGAUUAUUUACUUUUUGAAAAAAGUUUUGGUUUUCUCCUUAUUCUAAUUUGAUAUCGCAACUAUGUUCCAACAUAAAUUAGAAUAAGAUGGAUUAAUAAAAGUUUUCAAAUAGAAAUAACACACAAGAUUUAUUAACAUAGUUCAUAUAACAUUCUUACUUUGUAAAGCCUUAUUAAGGGUGUACAAAAUUCGAUGGAAAAAGCCACCCAAAUCAACUCAAUUCGAUUUUUUUGUUCGAUUUUAUUGAAUUCAAAUAUCUAAAUAUAAUAUUUUAUAUUUUUACUUCAAACCCCUAAACUUUUUUACUUUUCCUAAAAACUUUUACUCCUCUCCUAUCCCACCCCCAAACCCAUUCCUCCACCCCCCCAAUAUUUUUUUUGAAUAUUCCCCCUCAAAAUUUUACUCUCCAAACUCUAAAACUUUUUAUUUUUCCCUAAAACUGUUACUUUUCAUCAUAUACCCUCAAAUCAAAAAUCAAAAUCAUCCAAUUUCACAUAUUUUCCAUGAAAUUGUCUAAUAUUCAAGAAAUCUUCAUUAUGAUCUCCAUGAGUUGCAAUUACAUGUUUCACUUGAGCAUUGACUUAUAAUGUCAACAAAAGCAAAUCCAAAUAUAACACUAAAGGCAUUCAAAUUAUAUAUAAUCAUGUAAUAUUAUAAUAGAACAGUCAACAAUAUUAAUUAUUUGGUCUAACUAAUAAUAUUAUAAAAUUCUAAAGAUCUUAUUAUAUUAAAAAUUAAAUAUAGCGAGCUUAAGGAAAAAAUCAUAUACCCAAAUUUCGUUGCUUUUAUAUAAUAAAGGUAUUCAUCUUAAUUAGUGCCAUCAAUGUUGGUGUAAUUAAUCUUCCAAAAAUGGUAUAAUUAAUCACAUAUUAUUAUGACGUUUUUUUAUAUUAAAAGGUCAAAUUCGGUUUUUGUCCCUCUACUAUAUUAGAAUUAAAAAUUCAGUCUGUUUUAUUUUAAUUUAGCAUAAUUUGGCCCUCUUACUUCAUUAUUAAUUAAUCUAAAAUGUUAACACCAUUAACUAUUUUAAUCAAAAUACUUAUAUGAUUUUUUUUAAAAAAAAAUCAGUGUUAAGCAUUUAGUUAAUACGUAAUUUUUUAUUAAAAUUUUUUUGAUUAAUUUUUUUUAGAAAAAGCACAAUUAAAAAAAGAAUAAUUAACAAUGCUAAAAAAUUGAUAUAAAAAUAGAAUGACCAAAUCAUAGUGAAUUGGAGUAUAAAAACUAAAUCAUGAAUUUUAGAUAUAGUAGAAGGACCAACAUAUAGUUUGACCUAUUAUAAAAUAAAGAUAGAAAAUUCAAGUUAAAAUUGGUUAAAUAGUAUCUAUACAUAAGCCUUACAUUUCGCUUCGCCUCUAAAGUUACAGAACCUCUAAUUAUAUGUGAAACCAGCAAACUUCUCGAGAACUAAAGCAAGAACCCAACAUCCCAUUCGUCCCCGAUAUAAGCUCCUUUCCAUCUCCAUCAACAUUGCCUAACCAGCCUCGGGCCUUCCAAGGUGAACAAACAAAAUGGCAAGUCGUCAAAGUUUUCAGGCCUUCGGCUGCUUUCAUUUGUUCUUUUGGAUUUUCUUUCGUUCAUUCACACCCACUUUCACAGCCGAAGCGUCUUCAAUCGCUGAUCGUCACCUGUUGUCACUCCCCAAAAAUGGUAAACUCCCCGACGGGUAUGAAUAUACGGUGAAAACGACAGAGAAAUUCGAGAAUGAAAGGCUUAGGAGGGCUUUCAUUGCUCUUCAAGCAUGGAAGAAGGCUAUGUACUCUGACCCCAAGAACAUCACGAGCAACUGGUUCGGGCCCAACGUGUGUGAUUACAAAGGUGUUUAUUGUGUCCGAGCAAUGGAUGACCCCAAAUUAAAAGUUGUGGCUGGUAUUGAUCUUAACCAUGCUGACAUCGCCGGUUACCUUCCGGUGGAGUUGGGGUUGCUGACGGAUGUUGCAUUGAUCCAUUUAAACUCCAACAGGUUUUGUGGGAUCGUCCCUGAGAGCUUAUCUGAGCUUACACUUAUGCAUGAAUUUGAUGUUAGCAACAAUUGGUUCGUGGGGGAUUUCCCCAAAGUUGUACUGUCAUGGCCGAGCGUCAAGUAUAUUGAUCUCCGAUUCAAUAAUUUUGAAGGUUGUUUACCACCUGAGCUCUUCGAAAAGGAUCUAGAUGCAUUGUUUUUGAACGAUAAUCGCUUCACUUGCAACAUCCCUGAAACAAUUGGCAAAUCGACUGUCUCCGUUGUGACAUUCGCCAAUAACAAGUUCGAAGGAUGUAUACCACGUAGCAUUGGCAAGAUGUCGAACUUGGACGAGAUCAUUUUCUCAAACAAUAACCUCGGUGGUUGUUUCCCUCAAGAAAUUGGAUUGCUUCGCAAUGUUACUAUUUUCGAUGCUAGCAAGAACUCGUUCAUGGGUAGCUUGCCGGCAAACUUUUCGGGCUUUGAGAAGGUUGACAUUUUAGAUAUUUCCGGGAACAAGU
rnacentral:lncRNA from 1 species